rnacentral:rRNA from 1 species
GACGACGGGGGCUAGCGUUGUUCGGAAUUACUGGGCGUAAAGCGAGUGUAGGUGGUUGUCCAAGUUGGAUGUGAAAGCCUUGAGCUCAACUCAAGAAAUGCAUUCAGGACUGGGCGGCUAGAGGACCGGAGAGGAUAGUGGAAUUCCCAGUGUAGUGGUGAAAUACGUAGAGAUUGGGAAGAACACCAGUGGCGAAGGCGGCUAUCUGGACGGUUUCUGACACUAAGACUCGAAAGCGUGGGGAGCAAACAGG